rnacentral:tRNA from 1 species
GCCUGGGUGGCUCAGUCGGUUGAGCGUCCGACUUCGGCUCAGGUCAUGAUUCACGAUCCGUGGGUUCAAGCCCCGCGUCAGGCU